rnacentral:rRNA from 1 species
GAUUAACGCUAGCGGCAGGCCUAAUACAUGCAAGUCGAGGGGCAGCGCGGGUAGCAAUACCUGGCGGCGACCGGCGUACGGGUGCGUAACACGUAUGCAACCUACCUUUAACUGUGGCAUAGCCCCGAGAAAUCGGGAUUAAUACCACAUAACAUUGCGAUGAGGCAUCUCAUUGCAAUUAAAGCUCCGGCGGUUUUAGAUGGGCAUGCGCGACAUUAGCUAGUUGGUGAGGUAACGGCUCACCAAGGCUCCGAUGUCUAGGGGUUCUGAGAGGAUUAUCCCCCACACUGGUACUGAGAAACGGACCAGACUCCUACGGGAGGCAGCAGUAAGGAAUAUUGGGCAAUGGGCGCAAGCCUGACCCAGCCAUGCCGCGUGCAGGAUUGACGGCCCUAUGGGUUGUAAACUGCUUUUGUAUGGGAAAAAACCCCCGGUCGUGUACCGGGGUUGAUGUUACCAUAAGAAUAAGCAUCGGCUAACUCCGUGCCAGCCGCCGCCGUAACAC